rnacentral:rRNA from 1 species
GAUGAACGCUGGCGGCGUGCUUAAUACAUGCAAGUCGAGCGAACAGACGAGGAGCUUGCGCCUCGGACGUGAGCGGCGGACGGGUGAGUAACACGUGGAUAACCCACCUAUAAGACGGGGAUAAUCUCGGGAAACCGGAGCUAACAGCGGAUAAUAUAUUGAAGCGCGGGGUUGAAUGGUGAAAGACGGUUUUGCCGUAGGGUAUAGAUGGAUCCGCGCCGGAUGAGGUGGUUGGUGGGGUAGCGGCUUACCAAGGCGACGAUGCGUAGGCGGCAUGAGAGGGUGAACGGACACAGGAGGACUGAGAGACGGCACAGACUGCUACGGGAGACAGCAGUGGGGAAUAUUGCACAAUGGGCGGAAGCCGGAUGCAGCAAAGACGCGUGCGGGAGGACGGCCUUCGGGUUGUAAACCGCGUUCGCCUGGGACGAAGCGAGAGUGACGGUAAAGGGUAAAGAAGCACCGGCUAACUACGUG